UGGGGAAUCUUCCGCAAUGGACGAAAGUCUGACGGAGCAACGCCGCGUGAGUGAAGACGGCCUUCGGGUUGUAAAGCUCUGUUAUUCGGGAAGAACGAUUCGUUUGUGAACAAUGAACGGAAGUGACGGUACCGAAAGAGAAAGCCACGGCUAACUACGUGCCAGCAGCCGCGGUAAUACGUAGGUGGCAAGCGUUGUCCGGAAUUAUUGGGCGUAAAGAGCGCGUAGGCGGUAUGGUAAGUCUGUCUUAGAAGUGCGGGGCUUAACCCCGUGAGGGGACAGAGACUGUCAUACUGGAGUCUCGGAGAGGAAGGCGGAAUUCCUAGUGUAGCGGUGAAAUGCGUAGAGAUUAGGAAGAACACCGGUGGCGAAGGCGGCUUUCUGGACGAGCACUGACGCUGAGGCGCGAAAGCGUGGGGAGCGAACAGG
rnacentral:rRNA from 1 species